UACGUAGGGGGCUAGCGUUGUCCGGAAUCAUUGGGCGUAAAGAGCGUGUAGGCGGUCCGGUAAGUCCGCUGUGAAAGUCGGGGGCUCAACCCUCGAAUGCCGGUGGAUACUGUCGGGCUAGAGUGCGGAAGAGGCGAGUGGAAUUCCUGGUGUAGCGGUGAAAUGCGUAGAUAUCGGGAGGAACACCAGUGGCGAAGGCGGCUUUCUGGUCUGCUCUUGACGCUGAGGCGCGAAAGCUAGGGUAGCAAACGGG
rnacentral:rRNA from 1 species